UGAUUAAUUCAGGAAAUGCUGGUUCGGACGUCACAUGUCACGUGGUUUGAAGCAGUUGCUGCUUCGGACGUCAUAUGUCAUGUGAUUUGAAGCAAGCUUCGAAGCACUGCUUCUAUGGAAUAGGAAGUCCAGGGUUGAAGCUCCUUUCGAAGCUUCAGUGUCAAACUGCCAUCGCUAGAAUUCUCUGGAGGCCCUGUUAC